AUUGAACGCUGGCGGCAGGCCUAACACAUGCAAGUCGAGCGGAUGACGGGAGCUUGCUCCUUGAUUCAGCGGCGGACGGGUGAGUAAUGCCUAGGAAUCUGCCUGGUAGUGGGGGACAACGUUUCGAAAGGAACGCUAAUACCGCAUACGUCCUACGGGAGAAAGCAGGGGACCUUCGGGCCUUGCGCUAUCAGAUGAGCCUAGGUCGGAUUAGCUAGUUGGUGGGGUAAUGGCUCACCAAGGCGACGAUCCGUAACUGGUCUGAGAGGAUGAUCAGUAACAGUGGAAGUGAGACACGGUCCAGACUCCUACGGGAGGCAGCAGUGGGGAAUAUUGGACAAUGGGCGAAAGCCUGAUCCAGCCAUGCCGCGUGUGUGAAGAAGGACUUCGGAUUGUAAAGCACUUUAAGUUGGGAGGAAGGGCAGUAAGUUAAUACCUUGCUUUUUUGACGUUACCGACAGAAUAAGCACCGGCUAACUCUGUGCCAGCCGCCGCCGUAAAAC
rnacentral:rRNA from 1 species